GAUGAACGCUGGCGGCGUGCCUAAUACAUGCAAGUCGAACGCUUCACUUCGGUGAAGAGUGGUGAACGGGUGAGGACUACCUAAGUAAUCUGGCAUCUACAGGGGGAUAACUGAUGGAAACGUCCGCUAAGACCGCAUAGGUGUAGAGAUCGCAUGAACUCUAUAUGAAAAGUGCUACGGGACUGGUAGAUGAUGGACUUAUGGCGCAUUAGCUUGUUGGUAGGGUAACGGCCUACCAAGGCGACGAUGCGUAGCCGACCUGAGAGGGUGACCGGCCACACUGGGACUGAGACACGGCCCAGACUCCUACGGGAGGCAGCAGUAGGGAAUUUUCGGCAAUGGGGGAAACCCUGACCGAGCAACGCCGCGUGAAGGAAGAAGUAAUUCGGUAUGUAAACUUCUGUCAUAGAGGAAGAACGGUGGAGAUAGGAAAUGAUAUCCAAGUGACGGUACUCUAUAAGAAAGCCACGGCUAACUACGUG
rnacentral:rRNA from 1 species